rnacentral:snoRNA from 1 species
AUAUAUAUUACAAUGAUGAAACAUCAACGCAACAUAGAGUCAAGCUCUGAGUUUUUCAAAAAAUUGAGAACACGGGAAGAGACUUGCUAUUCAAUGACCUGAACUGUAAUAU